AAUUCUAUGUGGGAAAAUUAUAUCCCUGUUUCUUGAUUUUAGGCAAUUCGCUAUCUAUGCCAUCUGUCAUUUGGACAAAGGGAGACAAGGGGGCCUAGCCCCACGGGUGCAGGGAACAGAGACUUGUCCAUUCAUUUUGAGGAAUGUGGAAUCAAAUACUUACCACAACUAGUCUGCCUUGGAAACUUAGGACUGAUUUUUUCUGUCCCUUUCCCAGUCAGACUUUACCUUGAGGUUUAAUUCACAAUCAAAUUGGAUCCAUCCUUUGUUCCUAAAGGGACUCGUUAUGCUCCACUAUGGUUGAAUGUCUCUGAGGUCUGAAGAAAGACCCUGAAAUACAUGAGGGACCAUCUUCCAAAACAAGUACAAGAGAGACAUGGAACUACUGGAGAGAGUCCAGCGUAGGACUGCGAAGAUGAUUAGGGGACUGGAGCAUCUGUCUUAUGAGGAAAGGCUGAGAAAGCUGGGCCUGCUUAGCCUGGAGAAGAGAAGAUUGAGGGGGGAUCUUAUCAAUGUAUAGAAAUAUCUUAAGGGAGGGUGUAAAGAGGAUGGGGCCAGACUAUUUUCAGUGUUGCCCAAUGACAGGACAAGAGGCAACAGGCACAAACUGAAACACAGGAAGUUCCAUCUGAACAUGAGGAACAACUUCUUUACUGUGAGGGUGACUGAGCACUGGAACAGGUUGCCCAGAGAUGCUGUGGAGUCUCCUUCUCUGGAGAUAUUCAAAACACACCUGCACACCUGUGCAACAUGCUCAAGGUGACCCUGCUUGAGCAGGGUGGUUGGACUAGAUGAUCUCCAGAGGCCCCUUCCAACCUCAACCAUUCUGUGAUUCAUGUGUCUUUUGAAAUGAAUCAUACACUAUUGUACACCAGCCAUAUCUGGUUUUUAUAUCACUUCAGACAGUGCAACAAACUCCCUAACGUAACACUUACAAUGCACUGUUGUUUUUUCUACCAUAAACUGAUUAAGUGUUAAGAGAAGUUAAUCAUUAAACUGCUAGUUUUACAUUAAGACAGACUCCCUUCUUUGUCUUUCAGCCUCCUUCUUUGAAAUGCCACAUAAAAGUGAUAGAUGCCCUUUCUUUAAGAGUCAGCCAUCUAGUCAAGUUAUGUUUUAUAUUAGUUCAGCGACAAAGAGCCCUCCUUGUUUAAAUAUAGAAGCGUAAAGUAGAUAAGGUUAAGUAAGCUGGCUGCUGGGAGAACAGCAGGCCUGGUCUCUGUUAAGAUAAGCCGGCUGGAGCAGUAGGGGAGUAUUCAUUGUGCAAGAUUGUACUGUAUGAAUUACACUGUGGAGACAAGAAUACAAUGUGAAAACAAAUUAAGCUGAGGCCAAAGAUGCAAAUGGUCAAAUAUAUAUGUGAUAACACGAUGAAAAGCUUUUGGCAUUUUACUAAGGACAUUUAAUGGAUUUUGAAGUAUAAUUUGGCAUGGAAGCUACGUCUUAAAACAUCUUCAGAAACAGAGCAAACUUUCCCUAUAUACACUGAAAAGUGUGUGUGUGUGCGUGUGUGUGUUCUUCCUUCUAGUUAGCC